AUUGAACGCUGGCGGCAGGCCUAACACAUGCAAGUCGAGCGGAGAGGCGGACGGGUGAGUAAUGCCUAGGAAUAUGCCUGGUAGUGGGGGAUAACGUACGGAAACGGGCGCUAAUACCGCAUACUAGAAGAUGAGCCUAGGUCGGAUUAGCUAGUUGGUGGGGUAAAGGCCUACCAAGGCGACGAUCCGGAACUGGUCUGAGAGGAGGACCAGCCACACUGGAACUGAGACACGUUCCAGACUCCUACGGUAGGCAGCAGUGGGGAAUAUUGGACAAUGGGCGCAACCCUGAUGCCGCCGUGCCGCGUGUAUGAAGAAGGCGUUCGGGUUGUAAAGUACUUUCAGCGGGGAGGCGGUACCCGCAGAAGAAGCACCGGCUAACUCCGUGCCAGCAGCCGCGGUAAUAC
rnacentral:rRNA from 1 species